GGUGAUGGUGGUGCCACGACAGCCCGUGGUGGUGCUGGAACAAUGGGGGAAGGAGGUGGUGCAGUUGGCUGCCGUGGUUCGGGUGGUGGUGGGGCAGUUGCUUGGGUCGCUCGCUGUGGAGAUGGUGGCACAGGUGCUUGAGGUGCUGAGGGUGGAGGAGGCGGUGAGAUAGGUUCUUGAGGUGGUGGUGGCUGAGUUACUGGUGUAAUAAAUGUUGGGGUUACUAUGGGCCGGACAAAUGUUGGCCUUGGCUGGGGAGCCGGUGGGCCAGCAGAUGGAGCUGGUGGUGGAGCAGGAGCAGGGGUGGGGGCAGAGGCUGGACGAGCCAUUGACGCUAACCGGAACCAUGGGCGAGCUGGGGGUUGCUGGCUUGCCAUGAUUUCUUAAAAUUGUAGAGGGUAUUUCAGGCUACAAAAGUACUUGUGUAUAUGUGUAUCUCGGAACAACAAAUAUAGAAAUGAGCACUUGAAGUU